GGCGAAAUGGCCGAGUGGUCUAAGGCGCCAGACUAAGGAGGGAGGAGGGCGUGAGUGGUUCCUUUCCAUCAACUCGAUUAUUGAGUACCGAAUUAUCUGGUCUUUCGGGGCGUGGGUUCGAGUCCCACUUUCGUCA